ensembl:lncRNA
GGCAGUUGGUCAUUGUAGGUAUGUGUCAGUUGGUCACUGUAGGUAUGUGUCAGUUGGUCACUGUAGGCAUGUGGCAGCUGGUCACUUUAGGUAUGUGGCAGUUGGUCACUGUAGGCAUGUGGCAGUUGGUCAUUGUAGGUAUGUGUCAGUUGGUCAUCGUGGGUAUGUGUCAGUUGGUCACUGUAGGUAUGUGUCAGUGGUCACUGUAGGCAUGUGUCAGUUGGUUACUGUAGGCAUGUGGCAGUUGAUCACUUUAGGUAUGUGGCAGUUGGUUACUGUAGGUAUGUGUCAGUUGGUCACUGUAGGUAUGUGUCAGUUGGUCACUGUAGGCAUGUGUCAGUUGUUUUGAAGGGAUUAUUUACUAAUUGGAUUUGUACAUUGGAUGUUUUAAUAAUUUUUGAAUGUACAAGAACAAUGUGGUUGUAUUUUGAUUUCUUUACUGGGACUAAAUUCAUAAAAAAAAAAAAAAUACAAAUACGCUUAGCCUUAACCUUUGUAUAUUUUCAUAUAAAGUGCGUC